GCAGCCCUCGGUGUUCCUGGGGGCAGAGAGCAGGGCUUACAGCAGCAGCCAGACUCUCAGCCAGGCGGCCCAGCAGGCCCCGCUUCUCCAGCACCGGGAGUGCCCCCUGAACAGUCCUCACCCAGGGCUAAAGGUGGAGGGCUGACCCCAUGACAAAGCUGACAAGCCUCCGAAGCUUCUGACUAAGCUACAGAAUUACUUACUAGUUUGGAAAGCAGUAUUUGGGAAUCUGAUCACCAGCAAAACCAGCUUUAAUCACACCGGAUCCCUGAGGAGAGAGGAGAGAGAAGGAGAAGUCAGAAGUACGACAAAAACAAGAGAUACAUCAUACACUCAGGCCUGAACUCUCCCCACCCUCCAGAGUCUCCACGACCAACACCGUCGUGAACACUGCCAUGCUUGAAACUGACUGAUGGAACAUACGUCGUCUGGUUCUUACUGCAGGGGCAAACCUCUCUGCUUGUUUCGGGGGGUUGUAGUUGUUUUAUUUUUUUACUAUGCUUUCUUUUACUCACUGGUCUCCUGAUGGUAAAGAGCAGAGAAGUUCUAAAGCAUCACCUGAGAAGAGACCCAACAUUACAAUCCUGUUGCUCUGAUCCUUGGUAAGUCCGGUGGGGUGCCAGAAGAGAACCUGACUUCUCUGUCAACAUCUCGGGUACCACCUAAGGCCCAACCAAAGUAAAUGGUGUCUCUAGACACAGAUGCCAACUCUGUGCAGGACAGAUGUCAAGGCUUGAUACUGCUUGCAGACAGAGCCUGUUCUCUUCCUUCUUAACUCUUCUACCACCGUACCCGAUACGCUCACCCUUCUACCCCAGCACCGUUUGCUGCACAUAUAAUAGGG